CCCUUGAAUUCGGGAUAACCUUCCGAAAGGUUGGCUAAUACCGGGUAAGCUCACGGUGACUUCGGUCGCUGUGGGAAAAGUACACCUCUGUUUACAAGUUUACGUUUGAGGAUGAGUCCGCGGCCCAUCAGCUACUUGGCGGGGUAAUGGCCCACCAAGGCUACGACGGGUAGCUGGUCUGAGAGGACGAUCAGCCACACUGGAACUGAGACACGGUCCAGACUCCUACGGGAGGCAGCAGUGGGGAAUUUUCCACAAUGGGCGAAAGCCUGAUGGAGCAACGCCGCGCGUGUGAUGAAGGUCUUCGGAUCGUAAAGCACUUUCGACCGGCACGAAAAACCUCUGGUUAACAUCCAGGGGCCUGACGGUACUGGGAGAAGAAGCACCGGCUAACUCUGUGCCAGCAGCCGCGGUAAUACAGAGGGUGCAAGCGUUGUUCGGAAUUAUUGGGCGUAAAGCGCGUGUAGGCGGCUUGGCAAGUCAGAUGUGAAAGCCCAUGGCUUAACCAUGGAAGUGCGUCUGAAACUGCUGAGCUUGAGUGCCGGACAGGAUGGCGGAAUUCCGCAAGUAGAGGUGAAAUUCGUAGAUAUGCGGAGGAACAC
rnacentral:rRNA from 1 species